rnacentral:rRNA from 1 species
CUUUAACCUUGGGGCUUUGACAUGCUUUUGGAACCCCAAGUAUAAGAUUUUGGCCCCCCUUUGUGGCCGGGUGUACAGGGUGGUGCAUGGCUGUCGUCAAGCUCGUGUCGUGAGAUGUUGGGUUAAGUCCCGCAACGAGCGCAACCCUCGUUCCAUGUUGCCAGCGCGUUAUGGCGGGCACUCAUGGGAGACUGCCGGGGUCAACUCGGAGCAAGGUGGGGAUCGUCAAGUCAUCAUGCCCUUAUGUCCAGGGCUUCACACAUGCUACAAUGGCCGGUCAAAGGGCUGUUAAGCCGUAGGUGGAGCGAAUCCCAUAAAGCCGGUCUCAGUUCGGAUCGGGGUCUGCAACUGACCCCGUGAAGUCGGAGUCGUAGUAAUCGCAGAUCAGCAACGCUGCGGUGAAUACGUUCCCGGGCCUUGUACACACCGCCCGUCACGUCACGAAAGUCGGUAACAAAAAGAAAUGGCCCAACCCGCAAGGGGGAGCGGUCGAAGGUGGGACUGGCGAAUGGACGAAGUCG